rnacentral:tRNA from 1 species
GGCGGGAUGGCCUAAUGGUAAGGCGUUGCUUUCCGGUCUGCUGUUACACUACAGUUAGAACAUGGCAAAGAUUGUGGGUUCGAGUCCCAUUCUCGUCG